rnacentral:rRNA from 1 species
UACGUAGGGUGCGAGCGUUAAUCGGAAUUACUGGGCGUAAAGCGUGCGCAGGCGGUUUUGUCAGCCAGGUGUGAAAUCCCCGGGCUCAACCUGGGAAUGGCAUUUGGGACUGCAAGGCUUGAGUGCGGCAGAGGAGACUGGAAUUCCUGGUGUAGCAGUGAAAUGCGUAGAUAUCAGGAGGAAUACCGAUGGCGAAGGCAGGUCUCUGGGCUGACACUGACGCUCAUGCACGAAAGCGUGGGGAGCAAACAGG